rnacentral:lncRNA from 1 species
CGUGAGCCGAACUACGGUAGCUCUGAUUCUCAUUCCAAAUGAGAUACGUAGGCAUAGGAUGCGAUAUCCUAGCGAGCUCGUUCCCCUCUUCUCCCACCUGUGUUGUUUCUAGUGUGUGCGUGUGUGCAUUGUUUGUGAGCAAUGUUUGUUUUAGCAACCUUAUUCUUUCCUUUUGAGCGUGGAUCCCGUCGAGUACGACGGAUGCGUAGGGGUGCUAAUACCUUCCCUUCGUAUAAC